UACAGAGGUGGCAAGCGUUGUUCGGAUUUAUUGGGCGUAAAGGGUUCGUAGGCGGACCGGCAAGUCAGAUGUGAAAUCCCACAGCUCAACUGUGGAACUGCAUUUGAAACUUCCGGACUAGAGUGUGAGAGGGGUAAAGGGAAUUCCCGGUGUAAGGGUGAAAUCUGCAGAGAUCGGGAGGAACACCAGUCGCGAAGGCGCUUUACUGGCUCACUACUGACGCUCAGGAACGAAAGCUAGGGUAGCAAACGGG
rnacentral:rRNA from 1 species